GACGAGCGCUGGCGGCGUGCUUAACACAUGCAAGUCGAACGGUAAGGCCCUUCGGGGUACACGAGUGGCGAACGGGUGAGUAACACGUGGGUGAUCUACCCUGCACUUCGGGAUAAGCCUGGGAAACUGGGUCUAAUACCGGAUAGGACUCCGGACUGCAUGGUCUGGGGUGGAAAGCUUUUGCGGUGUGGGAUGGGACCGCGGCCUAUCAGCUUGUUGGUGGGGUGAUGGCCUACCAAGGCGACGACGGGUAGCCGGCCUGAGAGGGUGACCGGCCACACUGGGACUGAGAUACGGCCCAGACUCCUACGGGAGGCAGCAGUGGGGAAUAUUGCACAAUGGGCGCAAGCCUGAUGCAGCGACGCCGCGUGAGGGAUGACGGCCUUCGGGUUGUAAACCUCUUUCAGUAGGGACGAAGCGCAAGUGACGGUACCUACAGAAGAAGGACCGGCCAACUACGUGCCAGCAGCAGCCGCGG
rnacentral:rRNA from 1 species